GUUCCGGGGGGCCCAAAUGGAUAGAGCGUCCGCCUCGGAUGCGGGAGGUCGCGGGUUCGAAACCUGGCCGAAUCA